rnacentral:rRNA from 1 species
GACGAACGCUGGCGGCGUGCUUAACACAUGCAAGUCGAACGGAAAGGCCCUGCUUUUGUGGGGUGCUCGAGUGGCGAACGGGUGAGUAACACGUGAGUAACCUGCCCUUGACUUUGGGAUAACUUCAGGAAACUGGGGCUAAUACCGGAUAGGAGCUCCUGCUGCAUGGUGGGGGUUGGAAAGUUUCGGCGGUUGGGGAUGGACUCGCGGCUUAUCAGCUUGUUGGUGGGGUAGUGGCUUACCAAGGCUUUGACGGGUAGCCGGCCUGAGAGGGUGACCGGCCACAUUGGGACUGAGAUACGGCCCAGACUCCUACGGGAGGCAGCAGUGGGGAAUAUUGCACAAUGGGCGGAAGCCUGAUGCAGCAACGCCGCGUGCGGGAUGACGGCCUUCGGGUUGUAAACCGCUUUCGCCUGUGACGAAGCGUGAGUGACGGUAAUGGGUAAAGAAGCACCGGCUAACUACGUGCCAGCAGCCGCGGUGAUACGUAGGGUGCGAGCGUUGUCCGGAUUUAUUGGGCGUAAAGGGCUCGUAGGUGGUUGAUCGCGUCGGAAGUGUAAUCUUGGGGCUUAACCCUGAGCGUGCUUUCGAUACGGGUUGACUUGAGGAAGGUAGGGGAGAAUGGAAUUCCUGGUGGAGCGGUGGAAUGCGCAGAUAUCAGGAGGAACACCAGUGGCGAAGGCGGUUCUCUGGGCCUUUCCUGACGCUGAGGAGCGAAAGCGUGGGGAGCGAACAGGCUUAGAUACCCUGGUAGUCCACGCUGUAAACGGUGGGUACUAGGUGUGGGGUCCAUUCCACGGGUUCCGUGCCGUAGCUAACGCUUUAAGUACCCCGCCUGGGGAGUACGGCCGCAAGGCUAAAACUCAAAGGAAUUGACGGGGCCCCGCACAAGCGGCGGAGCAUGCGGAUUAAUUCGAUGCAACGCGUAGAACCUUACCUGGGUUUGACAUGGAUCGGGAGCGCUCAGAGAUGGGUGUGCCUCUUUUGGGGUCGGUUCACAGGUGGUGCAUGGCUGUCGUCAGCUCGUGUCGUGAGAUGCUGGGUUAAGUCCCGCAACGAACGCAACCCUUGUUCACUGUUGCCAGCACGUUAUGGUGGGGACUCAGUGGAGACCGCCGGGGUCAACUCGGAGGAAGGUGGGGAUGACGUCAAGUCAUCAUGCCCCUUAUGUCCAGGGCUUCACGCAUGCUACAAUGGCUGGUACAGAGAGUGGCGAGCCUGUGAGGGUGAGCGAAUCUCGGAAAGCCGGUCUCAGUUCGGAUUGGGGUCUGCAACUCGACCUCAUGAAGUCGGAGUCGCUAGUAAUCGCAGAUCAGCAACGCUGCGGUGAAUACGUUCCCGGGGCU